AUUUCUCAACCUGCACCCUAUUUUUCGCAUGCUUUGAUGUCUAAGUGUCUGCUGUGAACAAAAUCUUUGAAUUUAGUCCAGUAUUGAGUGAGAACGCUCCGACCAGCAGCCGUG